GGUGAGCAUUUCCACAGGUGCCCCAAUCCAGGCACCUGGGAUUUCUUUUUCAGCAGUUUUCUCUUCAUAGGAAGUUUCUUCUCCAUAGUGAGUUUCCUCCAGGGGAGGUGCAUUUGUGUUCACAUUCCUGAUUUCCCAAAUGUGCUUCGUAACCUCCUCCCUUCACUUGGAGGAUCUAUGUUAAAGUUUGGUGUCCAAAGAGUUUUCCUGGAGGUGAAGUCUUGGGCUACUGUUUGUGGAAUUCCAACAAGUUUCCUGGGAGAUUGUUUACCUACCAUCAUCUAGAAUGGAACCCAAGUCCAGAGCCAUUUUCAAAUGUCAUCCCUUUCUAGUUAUGGCAAAUAAGAAACCAAGAAACACAACAGGAUUUUGACAUAAAAUUGUACCUAACUGUUUCAAGCUCCUGCCCACCUACAACUCUAAGAAGUGUCCAGGCCUGUUCCAGCUAGGGAUCAGAGAGAAAGCAGUCAUACUCUGGGGCAAUGAUUCUGAUGACAAAGACUCAUCUCUCUUGACUUACCCAAAGGAACAAAAGGCCUGGAGGGCAUACUGGGCUUGGAGAUGCCAAUGGCAUUGACUGCAAAGAUGCGGACCUCAUAGGCCACACCUUCAAUCAUCUUCUUGGGCUCAAAAGUUGUUUCUUUGCAGAGAUCAAAAUUCAGCCUCAUCCACCUGGAGCUUUGUUUCUUCUUCCUCUCAAUAAAAUAUCCUGCAGUGAACUUCCGCGAACUGAAUCAAAGAGUUUUACAAGACUCAAGAUGUUGGCUAGUAGAAAUCCAAGUCAAAAAUGGCAAGUCACAAUAUCUUUCCUCUAGGCAAGAAAAAAAAAGAAGACAAGGGAAAGACAAAGGAAGGAAAUGGAAGGAAAGGACAAAGAAGGAAAGUCUCCUCUGAAUCUUGACAUGUCAGCUUGAUUCUAGAAGUGUGUUUACCUGGAGGACUUACCCACAACUUUAACCUUGAUGCUUGCAUGUGCCUCUCCAGCUUCGUUUUUCAGAUUGAUGUGGUAAACACCAGAGUCAUCUCUUUCAGCUAUAUCAAUGACCAGAGUGCUGCUAUCAGGAAAAACUAGGUGAAUGCAGAAAAUUGCAUCCAGCUGAAAUGACCCAGCAAGGAAUGCACAAAAUCUGCAGACUCACACCUCAAACAUCUAUCAGCUACCUCAGUUCAUCCAUGUGAUAUAAGCCACACCCAUUUACAUCUGAGGUCACAACUACUCAUCAGAUUUUGAAUAAUCCUCUUUCUACUGCUUCACAACAGUUCACAAGCCACAACACUUCCAGCAUUAAUUCUUCUUCAACAAACCAGAAGACUCGUUAGGAUCCAUAAUAGCUGCCAGUGUAGAGAAGCCUCAGUUACUUUCGCUUUGAUCAUUAUCCCUGGGAGAAGAAGCCAACAGCUCCUGGUGACCACAAGAAGGGAUUUCAUUUUUACCUCUUACGAAGAGCUCAGUGGAACAUUUCUCAUCACCGGCUGUCACAUAAUACUCCGAAUCAUCUGUCAUCUGACAGUUAUUGAUAAACAGGAUUCUCUGGCAUCCUUUGUGUUCAAAGAUGUAUCUGUUUUGAAUAGGAUGAAAAUAAACAGAGUCUGUGAAUGUGA